CUAGGAGAACCGAAAACAGUUCUAGACAGACCUGCGGUUUUAUAGCAGUUUUGGCAGUCAACUUCAGCUUGUGUCUGAGCAGUGGGGCCCGAGGUGGCCCAGCCGCGGGGGAUGCAAGGCCGCCGCCCCUGACUACAUGGCAGCUUUCUCUCAUAAUUAGCUCGACUUCUCAGCAUGCCAGGGAGAAGGGGUACCCGCAGAAAGG
ensembl:misc_RNA predicted gene, 27454